AGUCGUAACAAGGUCUCCGUAGGUGAACCUGCGGAGGGAUCAUUACACAAAUAUGAAGGCGGGCUGGAACCUCUCGGGGUUACAGCCUUGCUGAAUUAUUCACCCUUGUCUUUUGCGUACUUCUUGUUUCCUUGGUGGGUUCGCCCACCACUAGGACAAACAUAAACCUUUUGUAAUUGCAAUCAGCGUCAGUAACAAAUUAAUAAUUACAACUUUCAACAACGGAUCUCUUGGUUCUGGCAUCGAUGAAGAACGCAGCGAAAUGCGAUAAGUAGUGUGAAUUGCAGAAUUCAGUGAAUCAUCGAAUCUUUGAACGCACAUUGCGCCCUUUGGUAUUCCAAAGGGCAUGCCUGUUCGAGCGUCAUUUGUACCCUCAAGCUUUGCUUGGUGUUGGGCGUCUUGUCUCUAGCUUUGCUGGAGACUCGCCUUAAAGUAAUUGGCAGCCGGCCUACUGGUUUCGGAGCGCAGCACAAGUCGCACUCUCUAUCAGCAAAGGUCUAGCAUCCAUUAAGCCUUUUUUUUCAACUUUUGACCUCGGAUCAGGUAGGGAUACCCGCUGAACUUAAGCAUAUCAAUAUAAAAGUCG
rnacentral:rRNA from 1 species